UACGGAGGGUGCAAGCGUUAUCCGGAUUUACUGGGUUUAAAGGGUGUGUAGGCGGGCUGUUAAGUCAGUGGUGAAAUCUCCGGGCUCAACCCGGAAACUGCCAUUGAUACUAAUGGUCUUGAAUUCUGUUGAGGUAGGCGGAAUAAGUCAUGUAGCGGUGAAAUGCAUAGAUAUGACUUAGAACACCAAUUGCGAAGGCAGCUUACUAAGCAGAUAUUGACGCUGAGGCACGAAAGCGUGGGGAU
rnacentral:rRNA from 1 species